GCAACCACAGGAUUUUUUGCCAGACCCAGCAUCUGAGGGAUUUCAUGAGCAAGUCAUGGAGCUUAGAGAGAGGGCAAAGGAAAUCCCUGAUGAUUACUUCGUUGUUUUAGUUGGAGACAUGAUUACAGAAGAGGCCCUUCCUACUUACCAGACAAUGCUGAAUACCUUGGAUGGAGUGAGGGACGAAACAGGAGCAAGCCCCACCUCUUGGGCAAUUUGGACAAGGGCUUGGACUGCUGAAGAGAACAGGCACGGUGACCUACUAAAUAAAUACCUUUACCUAUCUGGGCGUGUGGACAUGAGACAGAUUGAGAAAACAAUUCAGUAUUUGAUCGGAUCGGGAAUGGACCCAAGAACUGAAAACAAUCCUUACCUAGGAUUUAUAUAUACCUCAUUUCAAGAGAGGGCAACCUUCAUCUCCCAUGGGAACACUGCCAGACUAGCAAAAGAGCAUGGAGACAUAAAGUUAGCUCAAAUAUGUGGAACAAUUGCCGCAGAUGAGAAGCGACAUGAGACUGCAUAUACAAAAAUCGUUGAAAAGCUCUUUGAGAUAGACCCUGAAGGAACGGUCCUAGCUUUUGAAGACAUGAUGAGGAAGAAAGUCUCAAUGCCUGCCCAUCUGAUGUACGAUGGCUGCGACGACAACCUGUUCGAUCACUUCUCAGCGGUUGCACAGAGGCUGGGGGUUUACACAGCCAAGGACUAUGCAGACAUAUUGGAGUUUUUAGUUGGGAGAUGGAAGGUGGAAAAUCUCACAGGACUGUCGAGCGAGGGGCAGAAGGCUCAGGAUUACGUGUGUGGGUUACCAGCAAGAAUUAGAAAGCUAGAAGAAAGAGCUCAAGCGCGGGCGAAAGAAGGUCCUACCAUUCCGUUCAGUUGGAUUUUCGAUCGGGAGGUUAAGCUGUAGAAGGUGAAAGGAGGAAAAAGGAAAUGUCAAGAGAAGUUGAUAGGAAAGGGAAAAGAGGAGGAAUCAUCAUCUGGUGUACUUUUUAUUGUGUUUGAGAACAAUAAUGGUUAGUAUCAUCUUCUGUGCUCUGACUUGUCCAUCCCUCUCUCAAAGGAAGAAAUUUGUGUGUGUGUGUGUGUGUG
rnacentral:misc_RNA from 1 species